rnacentral:tRNA from 1 species
GCGGGAGUUCCCGAGCGGUCAAAGGGGUACGGUUCAGGGCCGUAUGGCUUAGCGCCUUCGUCGGUUCGAAUCCGGCCUCCCGCA